rnacentral:rRNA from 1 species
GACGAACGCUGGCGGCGUGCCUAACACAUGCAAGUCGUGCGAGAACGUCUCCUUCGGGAGAUUAGUAAAGCGGCGCACGGGUGAGUAACGCGUAAGUUACCUGCCCUUUGGACUGGGACAACUCCGGGAAACCGGGGCUAAUACCAGAUGAUGUCGAAAGACCAAAGCCUUCGGGCGCCAAAGGAUGAGCUUGCGUCCCAUUAGCUUGUUGGUAGGGUAAUGGCCUACCAAGGCUGCGAUGGGUAGCUGGUCUGAGAGGAUGAUCAGCCACAUUGGGACUGAGACACGGCCCAGACUCCUACGGGGAGGCAGCAGUGAGGAAUAUUGCGCAAUGGACGAAAGUCUGACGCAGCAACGCCGCGUGCAGGAUGACGGCCCUCCGGGUUGUAAACUGCUGUAGCAGGGGAAUAACACUCGCCUUUGGCGGGUUGAAGGUACCCUGAAAGUAAGCUCCGGCUAACUACGUGCCAGCAGCCGCGGUAAU